rnacentral:snoRNA from 1 species
CCUGCAGUGAUGAGUAAACCUGACUUUCGUUCUACUGACUUUGCUGAAGCCAUAUAUUUGUAUCUGAAAAGG